ACAAUUCCUGCCCAAAUAAACGCAUUAAUUCCUGAUUCGUAAUCUCCCUUCUCCUCCUGAAGCCCUAGAAAUCACGCGAAGAAAAUGUCGAUCGAACUCCGUCCGGCGCCUUUGUCCACAACGCCGCAGUGAUAUACAAACCCAAAUCGAACGUCCAUCAUGCUUCCCCUGCUCUCCGAUUGUAACUCCCCGAAAUCUUAACCACUCGAAGCCGUUGCCUAGGUCAAAACCAUCGCAGUCGACAUCUGGCCAUCAUCUCAGUCCACAGACACUACACUCAUCUCUAGCUUAGUACGUCUCCGUCGUCCAAAAUCGCCGUCCUCAGAACGACCUCCGAGCAACGACACAUAGAAUGUGUGUUUUAGAUUGCACUUGCACCUUUCUUCUGGCUACAUAUGGAAUCAUCUUAUGCAAGGAUGGGAGGACAGAAUGUUGGCGUUUGUCACGGUUGUAGAAGCACGAAGCACUCCUUUACUGAUUGCCCGGUAAAACGACAAUAUCCACGGUGCGCACUGGGAUUGCAGAUGUGUUUUGAGGUUGAAAGGGAGACUAGUAAUAAAGGGUGAUUAUUUAGAACCUAUAGUAGUAACUAUGGAUAUUUUGAUUGGGUUGUCAACGAAGAAGCAAGCGGAGAAUCGAGUACUAUUAAUGAGGCAUUUCAUCCUGUGGGCAUCGAAGAAGUCGAUGACUUGCCAAGCAUGUUCGACAGUCUGGCUCGAAUAGCUGAAAAAAGAGACAUUGAGAUCUCAUUGAACGUGACAUUUCACAAAGGAAAGCGAAGCGAGGACGUGAAUGGCAAAGGAGAAGCCCACGAUUGAUGUUUAUCCUAUAGACGGUUUUCUAAGUUUCUGAUACAAUGGUUUCUUUCCUGCUGGAUAAAUGUUGUCCAAUAUGAUCCUUUAAUGACAUGGUGAAAAUAUGUUUUGUAGAGAUAACUCAUACUUUGGCUAUAUGGUGUUGGCAUUAUGAUGUUUUGUAGUUCAAUUGUUGGUAGUCUAUGGAAUCUGUGGUGCACCAGUAGGAUUUUAUUCUUUGUGGAAUGUAUGACUUGUAGGUUGUCCUGGUUGGUGAAUGCAAUCCUUGUUUAUU